rnacentral:lncRNA from 1 species
CUGCUUCCUCCUCCCCCAGAGGCAGGAGCUUUCCACGUGGAAAAACACAGCUGGGCUUGGCCCACACUUCCCAGCAACCUGUAAACAUAGAGGACGAAGAUGGGAUCCUGGAUGAGUAUGACCAGUACAGCCUGGCCCAAUCUUAUGUCGUCGGUGGAGGUCGGAAAGGACGUACCAAGAGAGAAGCUGCUGCCAACACCAACCGCCCCAGCCCUGGUGGGCAUGAGAGGAAGCUGCUGACCAAGUUCCAGAACUCUGAAAGGAAAAAGGCCUGGCGCUGAGACAGAGCUGGAGAUGAGGCCAGACCACGGACACCACACCCAGCAAUGGAUACAGGACCUUGGAGAAAUUAGGAGUUGUAAGCAGGACCUAGGCCUGCUUGAUUCUUUCCCACCUAAGUGAGGCUCUGGAGAGGGAACACCAAAAAAAGCCCUUCCGGACCCAGCUAAAGGGCAAGUUAGGAGCGAGAAGCAGAGGGUAGAUGGGCAGAGCUAAGAAGGCACCCCCAAAAAGAACAGUGGGAAAAACUGGAUGCCCUUGGGUGGCAGUAACAAUAAACUGUACAACAGUGACAGCAUUUGUGUGUGUGUUGUGCUGUCUUUGUUGUGUUUGUGUGUAUUGUAUCUUGCUGUGUCCAUGGUGUAUCUCUCUUAGGAGACUAUCUGGAUGGGAGUUUUCUUACUGUGUAGCUUAGGGGGCUGUGACCAGUUGUCCAGUAUUGUUGCCUUACCUAAUGUAUGCAGAUGCUUUGAGGUGCCUGUUUCUAUGGUCUCUUCUGGGGAAAUUGCGGUUUCUUUGCAAUACUGCCCCAGAGACAAACUGGCCAGUCCCUUCCCCAUUCUUGAGCACAAUGAGGUCCUAUUAUGUAGAGCUGCUUUUUGAAGAGAAUGUUUCUAUUAAUACUAUUUGCAAAAUGACAAAAAAACCCCAACAACCUGAGGUUUAAAAUAUGCAAAGGAUUUGUUUUAAGCAACUGAGGGCUCAAAUCCAAGCAUGGAAUGACAGGCUGGC